GAUGACAAUGUUAGAGCUUGCAGUUUAGGCCACUGAUUGGCUGGUGAACUCAUACAUGUAGGUAGUAUGCUACGUGCGAGGCAAGUUUUUCACUGACACCACAAGGGUCUCUGGCCCAGUGAGCAGAGUUUGAUAGUAAUCCUUGCUACAUGU